rnacentral:rRNA from 1 species
CCUAGUAACUGCGAGUGAAGCGGGAAAAGCUCAAAUUUAAAAUCUGGUAGUCUUCUGGCUGCCCGAAUUGUAAUCUAGAGAAGCGUUAUCGGCACUGGACCGUGUACAAGUCUCCUGGAAUGGAGCGUCAUAGAGGGUGAGAAUCCCGUCUCUGACACGGACUACCAGAGCUUUGUGAUGCGCUCUCAAAGAGUCGAGUUGUUUGGGAAUGCAGCUCUAAAUGGGUGGUAAAUUCCAUCUAAAGCUAAAUAUUGGCGAGAGACCGAUAGCGAACAAGUACCGUGAGGGAAAGAUGAAAAGAACUUUGGAAAGAGAGUUAAACAGUACGUGAAAUUGUUGAAAGGGAAACGCUUGAAGUCAGUCGCGUUGCCCAGGGAUCAGCCUUGCACUCUUGCUUGGUGUACUCCCUGUGCAAUGGGUCAGCAUCAGUUUUGACCGAUGGAUAAAGGUUAGGGGAAUGUGGCAUCUUCGGAUGUGUUAUAGCCCUUGACCGUAUACAUCGGUCGGGAUUGAGGAACUCAGCACGCCGCAAGGCCGGGUUUUUAACCACGUUCGUGCUUAGGAUGCUGGCAUAAUGGCUUUAAUCGACCCGUCUUGAAACACGGACCAAGGAGUCUAACAUGCCUGCGAGUGUUUGGGUGGAAAACCCGAGCGCGUAAUGAAAGUGAUAAGUUGAGAUCCUUGUCAUGGGGAGCACCGACGCCCAGACCAGACCUUUUGUGACGGAUCUGCGGUAGAGCAUGUAUGUUGGGACCCGAAAGAUGGUGAACUAUGCCUGAAUAGGGUGAAGCCAGAGGAAACUCUGGUGGAGGCUCGUANCGAUUCUGACGUGCAAAUCGAUCGUCGAAUUUGGGUAUAGG